AGUAAAUUAUGUUUUACAGUAUGAUGGUAGUUGCUGAAGUCAUAAAAAGCCUAUCGGUAUGCUUAUUCAUUAGAGCGGUUCGAUUCCUGAAACUAUCUCUAGUCUGAUUAAGUGUGGUAACAGUUUUAAGAUGAGUCAAAAAUGAUGGUUGAACAGUUCUCCAUUAACACUAACUGGAAGAAAUAAUUGUUUUAUCAUUUGUCUAAAUAGACUAGCUAGAAUGUGACCAGAGGAAGAUUAAAUGGACAUAUCAUAUAUUUCUCCAUGGACACUGUAGUAAUCCAUAGACUGACUUUUGACACUAUUUGAAUAUUUGUUGUUGACGUUAAUUGGAUUUUGUGCAAAACCCCUGGAAGAAUAUUCUGUAUCAGACUAACAGUAUAAACGCCACCCAGUAAUUCUGUUUACCUGCUGUUAGACAUCGUAGUACCAUCUCCAAUCUCUUUAUAUAUGUUUAAUUUUAUUUAAAAAAGUCUUACUAUAAUUUAUUAUUAAUCAAGUAUAAUUCAGUUGAUUAUUUAUUGAAUAACUUAUUAUCCUGUCUUCAAUGUCCAUAUAAACUGUACUGUAUUUAUGACCACUACACUGAUAUCUCAUUUGGCUAAAUAUUUUUAAUUUUCAACUACAUUAAAACAAAAUUAAGAUUGUUUAAAUUUUUUUUUGAAUACUUGUAUUAUUGUUUGAAUAUUUUUACACUUUGAGUGUCAAUACAAGUAUCUUAUAAUAUUCUAGAUUUAAAACUGUAUUAGUUUAAAGAUACUAACAGUAUAUUACUAUUACAAUUUUGACAAACAUAAUUAUUAGCCUACCAAACUAAUUGUAAAUGUAGUUUCUGUAUUUACUUAUUUAUUAAUAUUUACUUACCUUAAUAACAUUAAAAUAUUAAUUUAUUGUAAAAAUAUCUUGACCUAACUGAAAGAUUGAAAAUUUGUAAACUGUUGUGAAAUUAUGUCGAUGUUGUUAGGAAAAAAUGUGUAGUCAAAAUGUUGAAUACCUAGAUUAAA